AUAUCAAUAAGCGGAGGAAAAGAAACCAACAGGGAUUGCCCUAGUAACGGCGAGUGAAGCGGCAACAGCUCAAAUUUGAAAUCUGGCCUUCGGGUCCGAAUUGUAAUUUGUAGAGGAUGCUUUUGGUGAGGUGCCUUCCGAGUUCCCUGGAACGGGACGCCAUAGAGGGUGAGAGCCCCGUCUGGUUGGACACCGAUCCUCUGUAAAGCUCCUUCGACGAGUCGAGUAGUUUGGGAAUGCUGCUCUAAAUGGGAGGUAUAUGUCUUCUAAAGCUAAAUAUUGGCCAGAGACCGAUAGCGCACAAGUAGAGUGAUCGAAAGAUGAAAAGCACUUUGAAAAGAGAGUUAAAAAGUACGUGAAAUUGUUGAAAGGGAAGCGCUCAUGACCAGACUUGGGCUUGGUUGAUCAUCCAGGGUUCUCCCUGGUGCACUCUUCCAGCUCAGGCCAGCAUCAGUUCGCUGUGGGGGAUAAAGGCUUCGGGAAUGUGGCUCCUCCGGGAGUGUUAUAGCCCGUUGUGUAAUACCCUGUGGUGGACUGAGGUUCGCGCAUCUGCAAGGAUGCUGGCGUAAUGGUCAUCAGCGACCCGUCUUGAAACACGGACCAAGGAGUCGUCUUCGUAUGCGAGUGUUCGGGUGUUAAACCCCUACGCGUAAUGAAAGUGAACGCAGGUGAGAGCUUCGGCGCAUCAUCGACCGAUCCUGAUGUUCUCGGAUGGAUUUGAGUAAGAGCAUACGGGGCCGGACCCGAAAGAAGGUGAACUAUGCCUGUAUAGGGUGAAGCCAGAGGAAACUCUGGUGGAGGCUCGCAGCGGUUCUGACGUGCAAAUCGAUCGUCAAAUAUGGGCAUGGGGGCGAAAGACUAAUCG
rnacentral:rRNA from 1 species